AGGUUUUCUUUGCUCUUGGAAUUUCCUUUCUUUUGCUUCUCAUUUGUGUUUGUUUAUUCUUGUUCUAAACUCGUUGUCCAUGGUGAAAGCUUGAAGCAUUGUCAACUCUCAAACGCCUCAAUUCGUUGCUCGUCGAAAGGUGUCGAAAAUGAAGAAAGGGACGGAGACGGUGAAGACAUUGAUCUUACUUGAGAAGAUCUUUUAUGAAGAUUUCUACAUGUUCUAAGAAUCUUUUUGCUAUCGAACAUUUUGAAACUUAUCCUAAAUCUUGAAAUGUAAAACUUAAUUAUGCAUUUUGGGUUGAACAUUUUGCUUUUACGGGUAUAUAUGUUGGAUUAGGAAUGUUGGAUAUUUUGGAUUAUGAAAAAUUGUGUUUUCUGGUUUA